rnacentral:rRNA from 1 species
UACGUAGGUGGCAAGCGUUGUCCGGAUUUACUGGGCGUAAAGAGCGCGCAGGCGGUCGUUCAAGUCGCGUGUGAAAGCCCCCGGCUCAACUGGGGAGGGUCACGCGAUACUGAUCGACUCGAAGGCAGGAGAGGGUAGUGGAAUUCCCGGUGUAGUGGUGAAAUGCGUAGAUAUCGGGAGGAACACCAGUGGCGAAGGCGACUUCCUGGCCUGUUCUUGACGCUGAGGCGCGAAAGCGUGGGGAGCAAACAGG